rnacentral:misc_RNA from 1 species
AAGUCGUAACAAGGUUUCCGUAGGUGAACCUGCGGAAGGAUCAUUAACGAGGUUUGGGGAUCACCGGGGGCUCGCACGAGGGGGACGUACUCCUUCCGGACCGAACGUAUAUGGAAUCGAACAGGGAUGGCCAGGCAGAACCUGCGUGGAGGUUGCCCGACUGCGAGUUGCCGGUGUUUCGACCCUUUCCAUCCUGUGCCGUCAAACAGAAUACUUCGGUGCUUACCCACCGGGGAAAUUUUCAAAUCGUUGUACGGUGUUAUCUGAGGAGCAGCGAAUGCACAAAA